UUAGAGUGUGUCAAUUCUGCGAAGCUGGCGGCAGAGGUGUUCCACCACACGAUACAGAGCACUCUAGUUGGAUUAUAUUACUACUACCAAUGCUUCUGGAACGGGUCUGUUCUAGCUCCACUUUAAACAGUAAUUGAGCCAUACGCGCAGAUAGACCCAACGCAGAACCGUUUGCUCAUUCUCCGAAGAACAAAAGACGAAUGAUCCUUUGCAGAAAGACGGUCUGUCGCCCGUUUCUCUAUAGCUUCACCCGGCGCUCACGGAAAGAUCGGAGCGGGUGACGUCGCCGCACUACCAGUCAGUAACAUGCGACGAAAUGUUUAGUGGGAUGUUUUCCAUUGAGCGUCUAGUGUCAUGUUAUUUUUUCCAGGUAACGCAGACGAAUGCAACUGAUGAACAAACGACCACAAGAGGGAGCUGCGUAAUAUUGGCACCUUUGCUAAGCGAGUCCGCAAUAUAACGAAGAAAUAAACGCGCAACCGAAUAAGUGAUCUGGCCGAACGGAGAUGCUUUUCAAAUGGCACGACACAAAGGCCGUUGUUUCAUGUUCUCAUAGUCGCAUCAUUCACGUCUCCUGCAUACUGAAAGUCGUCUCGACGUACCCAGGAAGGCCGCAGUCAGCCGCGUCAGUAAUUAAUCGACGUACUCAAGAACGCAGUUCGAGUUCGUGAUGAUCAUGCUUAUUCAUGGAAAACUGCAUUAACAAUGGAUGAUGAACUUAAUGAAGACACCUUGCCUUUAAGCAAGGUAAACUGACCUAAUUAAAUGGGCCAUACUACAAAAUACCCGGGUGCUAACUAAGCCAAAAUGGGCAUGAAAAAUGCAUGAGGAGGCAAAAAAGUCGCAAUCUGGACGACAUAAUUAACAUUACUAGCUAAACUUUGGUUAGGCCCUUCGAAAGGUCUGUGCCAUAACUGAAGAAAAAGAAAAAAAUCCCACAUUAGUUUGUGUAGUCUACUCGGAAUGUCUGUGUAGUCUAGCGGAAAUGGGCAGAAGAAACAUGUUUUUCUUGUAUGUACAAUUUAAUUUUUCCAUAAAAAAAAAACUCGAAAAAAUGCACUUGGAAACAUGUGCAAAAGAUCAACUAAAUAGUAUCGAUGGUAUACAACUUUAAAUCCAAAAAAAAUUAACAAUUGUAUGGAGAAGUCAAUUUUGAAAGAACAAAUUACUUAAGAAUUGGGUUUGAUUUUAGUGUGAUUUAUUGCAUACUUUAUAAGCAUAAAUAGAUAAACUUUAUGACUAAUAUGACCAUGUAAUGAAUAAUGUAAGUUACAUCUCGCAAUAACUACGAGCAACAUGAAAUACGCGGGUGAACAUAUAUGUGUAUCGUUUAGAUGAAGUACGUAUUGCACUUAAUGGCAGCGGCUGAAUUAGCUUCACUAUGACAACGGUUCGAUCUGUACAAUUCGACAAAAGAUGCUUUUAUUUUUGUGUGGAAAAUCUGUCGCACUAGAGCCGUGAGGACGUAGAUCUCAUCCAUCACCUGACGUUGGUUGCAAUGGCAGCGGCUGAAUUAGCUUCACUAUGACAACGGUUCGAUCUGUACAAUUCGACAAAAAUGCUUUUAUUUUUGUGUGGAAAAUCUGUCGCACUAGAGCCGUGAGGACGUAGAUCUCAUCCAUCACCUGACGUUGGUUGCAAUGGCAGCUUUGAAACAUUUGGCUCUUAGUUCCGUCGUAACGAACCUCACCAAUUUCUAUGAAUGUCAGUAGUUGUUAUGAAGUUAAAAACGAGGCGGUUAG
rnacentral:lncRNA from 1 species